CUGCCAGGACAUUGGAGCCAUAUCAGUCUAACAGCCUCCUAUUUGAUUAACAUCCUGAAUACGGCUUUAAUGCAGCUGCCAUCUGUUUUCAGCUUGAACUAGUGCAAGGAAUAUUUAGGAGACAGAAUCAGAAUUGAAGGAUUUGGAAGACAGCAAUGAAGAGCAGUUUGUUCAUGGCCUUGGAAAAACCAAGAGAGUUGUUUUUACCGUCACCAAGCAGAGACUCUCAGAAGAACUCAAUGGUGGUAGCAUUUCCAGGAAUGCACACCCAGGGAAGAGGGAAGAUGGACUCAUUGCUCAGACGAGAAGCUGGAGCCACAUCUAAACAGACAUUGUCACAAAACCGCACCUGUCGUCUGUUCUCCUGAGGGGCCAUUUAUCUCUCCUAAAAGUCAUUUGUUUUCCCAUAAGUGUCCUUUCUCCCCCUCUUCGUCCCCUAUUAAGGUUUUUCAGUCCCAGACUAUAAAGAUAAGACACCUUUUUGAAUCAUGUUCCUUUUUGCUUUGCUUCUUUCUUUCUUUAUUUUUGGCUGCACUUUGCAGACUUCUACCCAUUCUGAUAACCUUAAAAUAUAUCUGGAUCUGUCCACUUUCUGCCCUCUCCCAGGUUCUGCCAGCCUGGUCCAUGUCACACCCUCUCCUGUCGUAAGUCUUCCUGAUUCUCUCUUUGAGUCCCUGCCGCCUGUUCUCAAACCCAACAGCCAGAAUCACCCUUAUAAACCCUAAGCCAUUUACACAACUCCUUUGCUCAAACCCUUUCAGAAUAAGUACUGAAGUCCUUGCAAUGGUUCAAAAGCUCCUAAAUAAUCUACACCACUUCAGCUCACUCUACACGAGCCUUGUUUUAGUGCUUGGCAGAUCUUUAUUAUCAUUUUAAAUUAAUUUUUAUUGGAAUAUAAUUCAUUUGCACUGUUGUGUUAGUUUCAGGUGUACAACAAAGUGACGUGCUUAUCCAUAUACACGUGUCCACUCUGUUAUAGAUUCUUCUCCUAUGUGGGGUAUUACCGAUUAUUGUGUAGAGUUCCCUGUGCUAUUCAGUAGGUCCUUGUUGUUAUGCUGUUUUAUAUAUAG